rnacentral:rRNA from 1 species
UGAGGGAUAUUGGUCAAUGGGCGCAAGCCUGAACCAGCGACGCCGCGUGGGUGAAGAAGGUCUUCGGAUCGUAAAGCCCUUUUCCCACUGAAGAGGACGGACGGUAGGUGGGGAAGAAGUCUCGGCUAACUACGUGCCAGCAGCCGCGGUAAAACGUAGGAGACAAGCGUUAUCCGGAGUUACUGGGCGUAAAGGGCGUGCAGGUGGCGUCUUAAGUCUGUUGUGAAAGCGCCUGGCUUAACCGGGCGAGGCCAAUGGAGACUGAGAGGCCGGAGGACGGCGGAGGGGUGUGGAAUUCCGGGUGUAGUGGUGAAAGGCGUAGAGAUCCGGAGGAACACCAGAGGCGAAGGCGGCACUCUAAGCCGUACCUGACACUGAGACGCGACAGCACGGGGAGCAAACG